UACGUAGGGUGCGAGCGUUAAUCGGAAUUACUGGGCGUAAAGCGUGCGCAGGCGGUUUUGUAAGUCAGAUGUGAAAUCCCCGGGCUUAACCUGGGAACUGCAUUUGGGACUGCAAGGCUUGAGUACGGCAGAGGGGGGUAGAAUUCCUGGUGUAGCAGUGAAAUGCGUAGAUAUCAGGAGGAAUACCGAUGGCGAAGGCAGCCCCCUGGGUCGAUACUGACGCUCAUGCACGAAAGCGUGGGGAGCAAACAGG
rnacentral:rRNA from 1 species